UACAGAGGGUGCAAGCGUUGUUCGGAAUUAUUGGGCGUAAAGGGCGCGUAGGCGGUGCGGUAAGUCUGCGGUGAAAUCUCCCGGCUCAACUGGGAGUCUGCCGUGGAAACUGCCGUGCUUGAGUGUGGGAGAGGUGAGUGGAAUUCCCGGUGUAGCGGUGAAAUGCGUAGAUAUCGGGCGGAACACCUGUGGCGAAAGCGGCUCACUGGACCACAACUGACGCUGAGGCGCGAAAGCUAGGGGAGCAAACAGG
rnacentral:rRNA from 1 species